rnacentral:rRNA from 1 species
UGGGGAAUAUUGCACAAUGGGCGAAAGCCUGAUGCAGCAACGCCGCGUGAGUGAUGAAGGCCUUCGGGUUGUAAAGCUCUGUCUUUUGGGACGAUAAUGACGGUACCAAAGGAGGAAGCCACGGCUAACUACGUGCCAGCAGCCGCGGUAAUACGUAGGUGGUAAGCGUUGUCCGGAUUUACUGGGCGUAAAGGAUGCGUAGGCGGAUUUUUAAGUGAGAUGUGAAAACCCUAAGCUUAACUUGGGGACUGCAUUUCAUACUGGAAAUCUAGAGUGCGGGAGAGGAGAAUGGAAUUCCUAGUGUAGCGGUGAAAUGCGUAGAGAUUAGGAAGAACACCAGUGGCGAAGGCGAUUCUCUGGACCGUAACUGACGCUGAGGCAUGAAAGCGUGGGUAGCAAACAGGAUUAGAUACCCUGGUAGUCCACGCCGUAAACGAUGAGUACUAGGUGUAGGAGGUAUCGACCCCUUCUGUGCCGCAGUUAACACAAUAAGUACUCCGCCUGGGAAGUACGAUCGCAAGAUUAAAACUCAAAUGAAUUGACGGGGUCAUAGCUGUUUCCU